rnacentral:rRNA from 2 species
GAACGGGGAGCAGCCCGGAGUCUGAAUCAGCUUGUGUGUUAGUGGAACGGUCUGGAAAGUCCGACGGUACAGGGUGAUAGUCCCGUACACGAAAACACACUUGCUGUGAACUCGAAGAGUAGGGCGGGACACGUGGUAUCCUGUCUGAAUAUGGGGGGACCAUCCUCCAAGGCUAAAUACUCCUGACUGACCGAUAGUGAACCAGUACCGUGAGGGAAAGGCGAAAAGAACCCCGGCGAGGGGAGUGAAAAAGAACCUGAAACCGUGUACGUACAAGCAGUGGGAGCCUCUUUAUGGGGUGACUGCGUACCUUUUGUAUAAUGGGUCAGCGACUUAUAUUCUGUAGCAAGGUUAACCGUAUAGGGGAGCCGAAGGGAAACCGAGUCUUAACUGGGCGUUAAGUUGCAGGGUAUAGACCCGAAACCCGGUGAUCUAGCCAUGGGCAGGUUGAAGGUUGGGUAACACUAACUGGAGGACCGAACCGACUAAUGUUGAAAAAUUAGCGGAUGACCUGUGGCUGGGGGUGAAAGGCCAAUCAAACCGGGAGAUAGCUGGUUCUCCCCGAAAGCUAUUUAGGUAGCGCCUCGUGAACUCAUCUUCGGGGGUAGAGCACUGUUUCGGCUAGGGGGCCAUCCCGGCUUACCAACCCGAUGCAAACUACGAAUACCGAAGAAUGUUAUCACGGGAGACACACGGCGGGUGCUAACGUCCGUCGUGAAGAGGGAAACAACCCAGACCGCCAGCUAAGGUCCCAAAGUCAUGGUUAAGUGGGAAACGAUGUGGGAAGGCACAGACAGCCAGGAUGUUGGCUUAGAAGCAGCCAUCAUUUAAAGAAAGCGUAAUAGCUCACUGGUCGAGUCGGCCUGCGCGGAAGAUGUAACGGGGCUAAACCAUGCACCGAAGCUGCGGCAGCGACACUAUGUGUUGUUGGGUAGGGGAGCGUUCUGUAAGCCGUUGAAGGUGUGCUGUGAGGCAUGCUGGAGGUAUCAGAAGUGCGAAUGCUGACAUAAGUAACGAUAAAGCGGGUGAAAAGCCCGCUCGCCGGAAGACCAAGGGUUCCUGUCCAACGUUAAUCGGGGCAGGGUGAGUCGACCCCUAAGGCGAGGCCGAAAGGCGUAGUCGAUGGGAAACAGGUUAAUAUUCCUGUACUUGGUGUUACUGCGAAGGGGGGACGGAGAAGGCUAUGUCAGCCGGGCGACGGUUGUCCCGGUUUAAGCAUGUAGGCGGAGGUUCCAGGUAAAUCCGGUACCUUUUAACGCUGAGGUGUGAUGACGUGGCACUACGGUGCUGAAGUGAUAAAUGCCCUGCUUCCAGGAAAAGCCUCUAAGCAUCAGGUAACACGAAAUCGUACCCCAAACCGACACAGGUGGUCAGGUAGAGAAUACCAAGGCGCUUGAGAGAACUCGGGUGAAGGAACUAGGCAAAAUGGUGCCGUAACUUCGGGAGAAGGCACGCUGAUGUGUAGGUGAAGCCCCUGCGGGCGGAGCUGAAAUCAGUCGAAGAUACCAGCUGGCUGCAACUGUUUAUUAAAAACACAGCACUGUGCAAACACGAAAGUGGACGUAUACGGUGUGACGCCUGCCCGGUGCCGGAAGGUUAAUUGAUGGGGUUAGCGGCAACGCGAAGCUCUUGAUCGAAGCCCCGGUAAACGGCGGCCGUAACUAUAACGGUCCUAAGGUAGCGAAAUUCCUUGUCGGGUAAGUUCCGACCUGCACGAAUGGCGUAAUGAUGGCCAGGCUGUCUCCACCCGAGACUCAGUGAAAUUGAACUCGCUGUGAAGAUGCAGUGUACCCGCGGCAAGACGGAAAGACCCCGUGAACCUUUACUAUAGCUUGACACUGAACACUGGUCCUUGAUGUGUAGGAUAGGUGGGAGGCUUUGAAGCGUGGACGCCAGUCUGCGUGGAGCCGCCCUUGAAAUACCACCCUUUAAUGGCUGGUGUUCUAACGUAGACCCGUAAUCCGGGUUGCGGACAGUGUCUGGUGGGUAGUUUGACUGGGGCGGUCUCCUCCCAAAGAGUAACGGAGGAGCACGAAGGUUGGCUAAUCCUGGUCGGACAUCAGGAGGUUAGUGCAAUGGCAUAAGCCAGCUUGACUGCGAGCGUGACGGCGCGAGCAGGUGCGAAAGCAGGUCAUAGUGAUCCGGUGGUUCUGAAUGGAAGGGCCAUCGCUCAACGGAUAAAAGGUACUCCGGGGAUAACAGGCUGAUACCGCCCAAGAGUUCAUAUCGACGGCGGUGUUUGGCACCUCGAUGUCGGCUCAUCACAUCCUGGGGCUGAAGUAGGUCCCAAGGGUAUGGCUGUUCGCCAUUUAAAGUGGUACGCGAGCUGGGUUUAGAACGUCGUGAGACAGUUCGGUCCCUAUCUGCCGUGGGCGCUGGAGAAUUGAGGGGGGCUGCUCCUAGUACGAGAGGACCGGAGUGGACGCAUCACUGGUGUUCGGGUUGUCAUGCCAAUGGCACUGCCCGGUAGCUAAAUGCGGAAGAGAUAAGUGCUGAAAGCAUCUAAGCACGAAACUUGCCCCGAGAUGAGUUCUCCCUGAGACUUUAAGUCUCCUGAAGGAACGUUGAAGACGACGACGUUGAUAGGUCGGGUGUGUAAGCGCAGCGAUGCGUUGAGCUAACCGAUACUAAUGAACCGUGAGGCUUAACCUU